rnacentral:tRNA from 1 species
GGAGAGAUGCCAGAGCGGCUGAAUGGGCCGGUCUCGAAAACCGGUAUCGCCCUUGUGGCGAUCGGGAGUUCGAAUCUCCCUCUCUCCG